ensembl:snRNA U6 U6 spliceosomal RNA
GUGCUCACUUUGGCAGCACUUAUACUAAGACUGGAACGAAACAGAGAUUAGCAUAGGCCCCUGCACAAGAGCGACAUGCAAAUUCGUGAAGCGUUCCAUGUUUUU